CUCUCCCGAUCUUGAAUGGUGUAGUUGUUUAGAAAUGCUUCCCAGCUGGAAGUUGUGUAAUAGACUGCAUUAAAGGACGUGUUUUGCCACACUUUCCAAAUAAAGCAUAUACUAAACCAAGUGUGUUUUCUUUCACUCUACUGUAAGCGUUUCAUCAUGAGACAGUGAGGAAGUUACGGAUAACCAAGGGAGCAAAUCAAGCAUGGGAAGUUUAGUUCAGCUCUUCAUGCUUUUUAAGUGUAUGCCUCAAAAGUUUGGUGCGAAUGAGAAGGUGAGCACCAGUUCAGUUAUUUCCUCACAAUAAUACAAUGAUAAAGUAAUUUUGAAAUGCAACCUGGUUUUCAUGUAGUAGC